AAGUGGAUUCAGUGGCGCACGGGUGAGUAACGCAUAGGUAAUAUGCCUCAUACUCUAGGAUAGCCACUGGAAACGGUGAUUAAUACUGGAUACUCCCUAUGGGGGAAAGUUUUGCAGCUAUGAGAUUAUCCUAUGUCCUAUCAGCUUGUUGGUGAGGUAAUGGCUCACCAAGGCUAUGACGGGUAUCCGGCCUGAGAGGGUGAACGGACACACUGGAACUGAGACACGGUCCUAGACUCCUACGGGAGGCAGCAGUAGAGGAAUAUUGCUCAAUGGGGGAAACCCUGAAGCAGUCAACGCACGCGUGGAGGAUGUAAGGUUAUUAGGAUUGUAAACUCCUCUUCGUUAGAUGAAGAUA
rnacentral:rRNA from 1 species